CUAAAAAUUUAGCACCACUUAGCCUAAGUCUUGGACAACACAUUUAGCUGGAAAAGGGAGGAGCUUUCACGGUUCUUCAAGCUUCAAAGGGGCCGAAACUUCUGUCCUAACCAGCCAUCAAAGUAGGCGCUCAAGAGGACCUUCCAGAGGAUCUCACGGGAGACGCCUAAACCAUCAUUUGAACUCGCUACUUGAAUCACUGUUGGAUUGGAAGAUUUUGGUAAAGCCGACUAGAUUAUAC